rnacentral:lncRNA from 1 species
CACAGAAAACAGCAUUUGCAAAUUCUUACCAGGAAAUGCCAACUCAGGAAAACAGUUCCUAUUAAAAGCUGAACUGAGAUACAUCCUUUGUGAAAAUUCAGCAGGGAAAUUUUCUGAAUUCCAUAACUGUAGAGACUACUUGCUGCAGAUACAAAAAUAUACAAAAAUAUUUCCUCACUGUAUGUUAAGCUUACGAUGAUGACUAUAUGUUAAAUUUACAGUGAUGGUGAUGAAUGGAAAGCACAAUUUCUCUUCUAGUGGAUAUUGCAAAAUUUUGACACACAUUUAUUCUCCCAGACUGGAACAUGACUGUGAUAGAAAGCUUAAUGUAGAACAUAUUCAUAAAGAAAGGUGGUUUUUUUGUUUGUUUGUUUGUUUGUUUUUUUAAAGUAUUUGAAAUUGCUUUCUUUCUAUAGCUCAGAUGAAAACAUUAACAUUUUAUUUUGGGAAUGUGUAGAUUCACAAGGCUUCAUUCCUUAGUGGUACAAACCUUUGUGCAAAUGGCAAUGACUCCUUGUCUUCUGGCAGCUAUUCUUGGUAGCACUGCCAUGUCACUGGGAGUGUAGCACAUCCUGUGUCAGAGGGGUCAUUCUGUCUUAGGAGUUGUCAGAGCCACAGCUAUGUUCAUCGAGGAGAAUGAGAAUCUCAGAAUAAUAGCUAUAUAUAUAGACACGGUGGAAAUCUGAUUAACAAUAAAUGUUAAUCCCCAAGUGGAACAAACUUAUGCCUAGUUGUGUUUUGUGCUAUUCUAGUGCAGUCCAAUGUCAUGCAGCUGUACCAGCAAUGGAAGAAAUAUGGCGACAAUUAUGUGGGAUGUUCUUUGGAGUUAAACUUUCUAUUUGGCAGAGAGAUGUUCUUCUUGAGCUGAAAGAACUGUCAAGCCUGGGGAGUGUAUUUUACAGCCUCGUACACAACAGGACUCACAAGCAUUAGCCCAUCAAACUCAUAAUUGUGUGAAAAAGAGCAGGAAGAGAAAAGAGGAGAAAACAGGAAAGGAAAUAAAAAGGAGGAGUAAGGAAGGAUGUAAGUCA